rnacentral:rRNA from 1 species
GAUGAACGCUAGCGGGAGGCCUAACACAUGCAAGCCGAGCGGUAUUGUUUCUUCGGAAAUGCGAGAGCGGCGUACGGGUGCGUAACACGUGUGCAACCUGCCUUUAUCUGGGGGAUAGCCUUUCGAAAGGAAGAUUAAUACUCCAUAAUAUAUUGAACGGCAUCGUUUAAUAUUGAAAGCUCCGGCGGAUAGAGAUGGGCACGCGCAAGAUUAGCUAGUUGGUGAGGUAACGGCUCACCAAGGCGAUGAUCUUUAGGGGGCCUGAGAGGGUGAUCCCCCACACUGGUACUGAGACACGGACCAGACUCCUACGGGAGGCAGCAGUGAGGAAUAUUGGUCAAGGGGUGCAAGCCUGAACCAGCCAUCCCGCGUGAAGGACGACUGCCCUAUGGGUUGUAAACUUCUUUUGUAUAGGGAUAAACCUACCCUCGAGAGGGUAGCUGAAGGUACUAUACGAAUAAGCACCGGCUAACUCCGUG